CAAAGUGUAUAUACUCUUCGGUGCAGGAAAUUCAAGCAGAGGAAAAGCCAGAGGGAGGCCAAGAAGAACGGAAAAAGCUAUACUAUACGUUGUAAACCUUCCAUGGCGUUUCUCUGUUGCCUCAAAAAUGUUGUGGUUGUUCUCUAGCUAUUUUUGCUACUCAUUUGGACUUGUUGGGUUCAAUUAUCCGGUCGAGAUGGUUUUUCUUUCUUAGUUUCUUGUUGCAUUUUAGAUUAUUAAGCAAAAAGAUGGAAGAAGCUGGGGAUUCGCCUUCAUCACAAUGUCCUCCCAGGAAGAUGCUCGUACAGUUGUUAGAAGUUUGAUUCAUGCGAGUUGUCAGGAAGGAUUAUUAUGGCGGAAUUUGCAAAGAGAUUGAAGAAAACAUCUCUUCCUCGUCCAGAAGGUGCCUGAGGUGGAGAGACACAGCAAAAACUUUAUGUAUUUAAUCUUGCAUGGAAAGCCAGAUCUAGUCAUCUCAGAGAGUUCUUUUCUACUAGUGCAAGUCCAGUUUCAGCUAGGGUGGUCUUCGGCAGCUCUUCAGGUAGAUCUGCUGGGAAUGGAUUUGUUUCGUUUGUGACAAGUGAGGAAGCACAAGCAGCUAUUUCUGCUUUUGAUGGGAAGGGAAGGUAAUGAUGAUUGAAAAAAUCAUGCAGCGGCGAAGUUUUUCAAAGGCACAAAAAGAUGGUUAUUUUUAGAAAUUUAGGACUUGUGAUGACAUUGUAAGAAAGAGUAGAGAUUUGUAUAUGAAAUCUGAGUGAAAAAUCUUAAGUUAAUUUCAUCAGCAACUAGAAGACUAAAGAGAAGCUUUGUAUCUUGGUCACAACAGAGUGGAGAGUCAUAGUUUGCUGUAACUAAAAGUUACUGUUAUCAUCAUGAUCAUUGAAUAUUGCUUUCCUUAAUAAUUGGGUAGAGAUAAAAUUAUUGGUAGUUUGGGUGGAAAAAUGAGAUUCUAGUUUUAGUUAAGUUGCGUGAAUGAAGUAUUUAUUAUUAGCCCAGACUAUUUAUUAGCUUUGUGUAAAUACCUGUUCUUAUUAAAUAUUAAUUGAGUAGUAGGUGGUCAUCCUACUCUAGAUGAACCGUCGAUUAUCUUGAUCUAAAAUCAUUGAUUAGUAAUGUCAGUAGAAAAUGAUAUAAACUCUAGAGUUAUCUGGAUUAUGUAUGCUCGUCUUAUAUGAACAGGAUUCUUUGACAAAGAUAAGUUGCAAUUUCUGUCCAAUUCAACUGGUCAAACCGACCAGGCGACCAUGGUCUCCUUUUUUAAUUUUUACAAAGUUAGCAAGUCGUUACUGAUGCCUGUACUUAUCCAAACCAUCUGAUCAUUGAGGCCUCUUUUCUUGAUCAUUGAUUGGGAUUAAUUGGAGAUUAUCAUCAUUGUAUAAUUGUUGGGAAUGAAGAGAUGGGUUCACUCAGGUUGUGUGAGAUUUUUUUCAUGUUAAUU